rnacentral:rRNA from 1 species
GACGAACGCUGGCGGCGUGCUUAACACAUGCAAGUCGAGCGGUAAGGCCCUUUCGGGGGUACGACGAGCGGCGAACGGGUGAGUAACACGUGGGUGACCUGCCCUUAGCUCUGGGAUAAGCCUGGGAAACUGGGUCGUAAUACCGGAUAUGACUCCAUAACGCAUGUUGUGGGGUGGAAAGCCUUGUGCGGCUAGGGAUGGGCCCGCGGCCUAUCAGCUUGUUGGUGGGGUGAUGGCCUACCAAGGCGACGACGGUAGCCGGCCUGAGAGGGCGACCGGCCACACUGGGACUGAGACACGGCCCAGACUCCUACGGGAGGCAGCAGUGGGGAAUCUUGCGCAAUGGGCGAAAGCCUGACGCAGCGACGCCGCGUGGGGAUGACGGCCUCGGUU